GUAGCUCUGCACAGGACAGGGUGGAGAGGAGCCUGGAGAUCAAGAUGAAGGGAGAAGGCCGGACGAUGAGAGGGGAGUGAACCCUGGGCGUAAUGGUUCCACACCAAGAGAAGUUCUGAAGGUCAAGGUCCAGAAGCCAAGAUUCAGCUGGGCAGGCUGCAUCUCUACAAGGCAGCCUCAGAUGUUCAUUGUCAAAUGGAUGAACUGGGAAGAGAGAGAGAGAGAUGAGGGGUCGUUGUCCUUCCAUGUCCCUUCCAGCCUCAGCCUCAGGAGUGGCCCCAGUUUGCUGAUAUCACAGGAGAUCUGCUAUUUGAUCAUUUUGCCUGCCAACUUGGAUGUCUGUCUCAGCAGGAAACCAUUUAAAGAAAAUAAAUGAAUUCUCAGCACUUGACAUUUUCUGGAGGACCUGAGUCCUUUCCAAGUGAGCUCAUAUCAAGCACAGUUGGUAAGACAGAGACGGGAAAAUGUGCUUUCUCCCUGUUAAGAGGACAGCCUCGCUGAAGCAUCUUGGGCAGGGCAGUAUUAAGUGACUUUUCCUUGUUGAUGAGGGGUCCUCUCACCUUUGGGAGAGAGGUGGCCCUCCACCCUGGAGGGGCUGCAGGAAGUGGAAGCAGGUUCCAUAGCUGGGGGGUGUUACAAGUGAGCUGAAGGAGAAGUAGCAUGGAAUUCCUCCUCAUUUUCUCUCCCGAGUCCACCCUGCCUCCUCCUUCCCAACAGCUUGUUUAUUACAGCAUGGUGACUUGGGGCAACGUGAUUAUAUGAGAUGGUUUUUUUCUCCCUUCUCUGUCCUCCUUCCUGGGCACAGUGUAUAUAGUAUGAGAGCUACUGUAAUGAAAGGUGCACAGGCCUUUUUAGGAAAGUGAUUGCAGGUGAGGCCAACUCAGCCAGGAAAAUCUCCUGUUGCUUCCUAGGAUGGGUCAGGGGAAAAGGAGAGGGACUUUAAAACAUGGAUACUUCAGACCUGGCUGCACACUGGACUCACCAAGGGGAUUAAAGAAAAACAAUGCUUGGGCCUCACCUCCAGAGAUUCAGAUUUAAUUGAUCUAGGGAGUGGCUGGGGUAUCAGGAUUUUUAAAUCUCCCCAGGUGAUGCUAACAUGCAGCCAGAUGUAAAGAUGGUAGGUUUAGAGGGAGAGAAUGCAAUGGUUUUCACUGUUGUACUGCAGGGUGAUGAUAUGGGGCAGGGCAGGAGCCUAUUCCAGCCCCUACACCUGUGGACACUUGCGUUAGAGGUGUCCACACUUCUACCUUGAAGCUGCAGCACUGGAAUACUUCCUCCACACUGCUGGUGCUCUGGAGCCUUUGACUAGCCAGGGGGCCGCUGAGUAACAAACCUUCCCACUGUCUCCUUCCACCAUGGACCAGGGGCAGCCAUCACACUUCCUCAUGUUUUUUAGUGACAUUACUUAUCAUUUACCUUAAAGUAAAUGAUAAAUAAAGGUGGACCUAGGGGUCUCUCUUGUUUUUCCUUUCUUUCUUUCUUUCUUUCUUUCUUUCUUUCUUUCUUUCUUUCUUUCUUUCUUUCUUUCUUUCUUUCUUUCUUCUUUCUUUCUUAUUUUUCUUUCUUUUCUUUCUUUUCCUUCUUUCCUUCUUUCUUUUGAUGGAGUCUCACUCUGUCGCCCAGGCUGGAGUGCAGUGGCACAAUCUUGGCUCACUGUAAGCUCCACCUCCCGGGUUCAUGCCAUUCUCCUGCCUCAGCCUCCCGAGUAGCUGGGACUACAGGCGCCCGCCACCAUGCCAGGCUAAUUUUUUGUAUUUUUAGUAGAGAUGGGGUUUCACCGUGUUAGCCAGGAUGGUCUCGAUCUCCUGACCUCGUGAUUCACCCGCCUCAGCCUCCCAGAGUGCUGGGAUUACAAAUUCCUUUCUUUUUUAAGAGACAGGGUCUUGCUAUCACUCUCUUCCAGGCUGGAGUGCAGUGGCGAGAUCAUAGCUCACUGCAUGCUCAAACCCCUGGCCUCAAGCAAUCCUCCCGCCUAGGCCUCCCAAAUAGCUGGGACUGCAGGUGCACACCACCAUGCCCAGCUUCCUCUUAUUUUCAUAAAAGAAUAAUUUGUGUGUGCACAUCUUUCUUUGGAAUCUUGGAUUGAUCAAAGGAGGUAUAGUUAUUACAUGUGUCCUACAUGCUGAAGUUGAAAGACAAAACUAGAGAAGAAAAAUGCCUAGUUUCUGUGGGAGUGAUUAUAACAAAAUAGCUAAUAUUUUUGAGAUACUAUUUAUGAAGUAAUCAAUUAAGCCAUUACAAUAAUUCUGUGAGCUAAGUACCAAUAGUAUCCCCAUUUGGCUCACCGUAAUAAUACGUAAUUGGCUCAAUGAAAUAAUAAUGCGUCCAGGGAUCUGAGAUACACACUUGAGAAAAUUAGUGGUGAGUCAACAUAAUUGCCAAAUUAUAUGAUAUUAUUAUAAAGCAAAGCUUUGGGUGUAAUAUUAAGGCCUAUGUCUCUUUCUGUAAAUGGUUAAACUGAGGCACCGAGCAGCCUGCUUAAUCGAAAUCAGAGCACAAAAGAGGGGAGGAGGUACAAUCCUCUAAAACACAUACUGUCAUCAACCUCUUCAUCUUGAAAUAUUCAAUUAAAUGUUAUCCAAACCCAAAGUUACUAAUGAAUUUGGAAAUGAGCUGGCUGUGACUGUGAGUAUGGAAAUUGGUGGAGAGGAGAAACUCCAGAGACUGGGGAGGAGCCACAGGCUGCCUGGCUUCAGAGUUGUUAGGUAGAAGAGAAAGCAGACCUGGAAAGAAAGAUACAGGGAGGGAAAGAAGGAAAAGGGAGAUAAAAAUUACAGAACCAUUGAAGGAAACUGCUCCACAGUUUCCCCUCUGCCUUUGGGCAGGAGAAUGUCUCAAGAGCGUUCCCAAGCUUCAUGUGCACAGGAAUCAGUGGGGUCCUGUGAAAGACGACUUCCAUUCAGCAGGUCUGGGGCAGGGCCUGGCACUCUGCAUUUCCAACGCUCUCUCCUAAGUGAUGCCUAUGCUGCUGCUGGCCCAUGGACCUCCCUGUGAGCAGAUGGGUCCACUGGGAUCCUCUGGGGAGAGGGUGAUUGAAACCCCCUGGAAUCCUUCUCCCAUACCUCUGACACUCAGACCCAUGGUCUCCCACCCCCGUCAUUGCUACAAUGGCCCCGGUAACUGGCCAGUUUUGUACUUAUUGGAGUCUGGGGGAGUGUCAUGGGAACCACGGGACAACAUGAGCAAGGGAGAGUGAGCAAACUGGCAGCUGGAAGGCAGGCAGGCUAAGUUACCCAAAUGACAGAAGGAAGAGAAGGACAAGAAGGCAGAGUCUGCUCACUCACUCAAGUCAAGGUGAUUAAUCUCUCUAUGCCUCAGUUUCCACCCUGCAAAAUGGGGAUACUAUUGGUACUUAGCUCACAGAAUUAUUGUAAUGGCUUAAUUGAUUACUUGAUAAAUAGUAUCUCAAAAAUAUUAGCUAUUUUGUUAUAAUCACUCCCACAGCUAGAUGUCAGCCCUUGCAUGAAAUCAAGCAUUCGGCAAACAUCUAUGCAGCGUGGACUCUGCUGGGCCCCAGCUGGGUCCCUGAGCAGAGGGUCUGGAUUGGCCAUACCUCAUUUAUAUUGAGAUGAAUGAACUCCUUGUUCUUUGUACUGAGAGCCUGGAACACCCCUGAUAGGAGAGAAGGGGGAAAGGCAUCCUUUUAAAGACAAUUCCUUUACCAAGUUUGUUUCCCAGCGACCAAAGGGCCUUCCAGUGGAGCCUGUGGGGAAGCUGCUCCAUCUGGUGGUAAACAAGGACUUUCAUCAAGGGCGGCGAUGGGACUCUCAUCAAGGGCGGGCUGAAGGUGAACUUCUCUGAACGGAUGGAGGCAUCCAGUCCUGUAGCAAGCCAGUGGUCACCUAAGCCAGUCAGCCGGCCAGCAGCUCCUGGAGCCAAAGCAACGCCCCUAUCUUAACCUUCUGGGGGGUACAGGGCCCUUGAAAUCCAUAGGCCCCAGAAAAAAAGCACACGCACGUAAAGUUUUGCAUGAAUCUGAAAGUUGUUAGUCUCGCCCUUGUAGGAAGGUGCCGUGGGUGCUGUCAGAGGACAGAGUGGCACAGGAGAGCGUGCCAGCACUGAGCUGGGGGCUGGGUCUACCGCAUGGUGUAGUGACCUGAGUGCACCUGAGCAAGUCACUGCCCUCUUGGGGCCUCAGCCUCCUCACCUUCAGAAGACGAGGUCGAGCCAAUCAGCCCUGGCUUCACUUGAGAAUCUCUCGGGUAGCUUUAAUAAUACAACCCAAAGCGGGGUGGGGGACCAUCACUGGACACAAGAAAUGGAAGAGACCCAACAACCAAACAUGGUGACUGGGUCUUGUGUGGAUCCUGAGUCAACCAAGCAACUGUAAAAAGGUGGCCUGGAAGACUUGGGCAUGAACCGGGCACUAGAGAAUGUUGAGGGUUUGCUGAGAAUUUCGUUAGGUGUGCAAAUGGUAUGAAGAUGAUGCUAAAAACAAGUCUAUCAGCUGGAGAUACUCAGAUGAAUGGACAGAGUUUCUGAGAUCUGCUAUUAAAUUAUUUAGGGGGAAAAUGUAUGUGUUGCGGGAGCACAAGGGAAAAGUUAGCAAGAUGGUAAUUGUUGAGGUUGGGUGUAAAGGUCUGGAAACACCUGGCGAAUUUGCGUAACUCCCAAUGCUGUGUGCCACCCCUGAGAUUCUAACAGAAUUGGUCAACUGUGCAGCCUGGUCAUCAGCAUUUCUUUAGGCACCCCUGGAGAUUGUAAUGUACAGCGAAGUUUGAGAAGUGCUGAUGUGGAGUGCAUGGGAACCUAUUAUGAUUCUUUAUAUCUAACUGGAGGGUUGACAUUCUUACAAUAAAAAGUUAAAAUAAUACUGCAGCAAAGCUCCAUCCUUGGUAAUUCUAAAAGUUCUCCAGGCAAAUCUAAUGUGAGGAUGCCAGAGUGGAUGGUGUUAAGCCUAAAGGGUCUUCACCCUAAUAUUCCUCUACUAUAAGAAAAGCUGAGGCACUCCCACCCCCCGUUCUGGGAAGGAUUACACCUGGGUGGUUUAGAAAGGGAAAGAGCAAUGGAGAGAAGAGAAACUAGCAAAUCUCAUUAUUUCUAGGGUCAGCUCUGACCACCCUGUAAGUCUAAUAACGGAUUCUGUUUCAGGAGGGGUCUUUCUAGAAUGCACCUCUCACUAGCUACCAGUAACCCCUUAGGGAAAGCCGGCUUCCUGGCUUGAUAUACUAGACCCUUUGGGGCCUGCUGGUCUGUCUCUGAUUUUCUCUCAUCAUUCCUUAAUCAACACAUACUCAUUGAUUGUCCAGAAAUUACGGCUCUCCUGGAGCUUAGAGUCUAGAGGGGCUGUGCUUCAGGCAAGUAAUUAGUGUUCUAUUACCAAAGAAGCAGAGGGAGCUAUCAUGCUGAUAACCAAGGGUCACAGCCCUCACCUUUUUAUUUUAAUUUAAUUUAAUUUUAUUAUUUAUUUAUUUAUUUAUUUAUUUAUUUAUUUAUUUAUUUAUAUUUUUGAGAUGGAGUCUCCCACUGUUGCCCAGGCUGGAGUGCAGUGGCAAACCUCAGCUCACUGCAACCUCCACCUCCCAGGUUCAAGGGGUUCUCCUGCCUCAGCCUCCCGAGUAGCUGGGAUUACAGGUGCAUACCACCACAUUUGACUAAUUUUUUGUAUUUUUAGUAGAGACAAAGUUUCGCUAUGAGCUGGUCUCGAGCUCCUGACCUCACGAUCCAACUGCCUCAACCUCCCAAAGUGCUGGGAUUACAGGCGUGAGCCACUGUGCCCAGCCCCCUGCCUUUUUUUUUUUUUUAAUCAAGUAUUCAUACCUCGAAGUGGCCUAUGGAACAUAGAUUAGAAAAUACCAAGCAGGACAAAAUGGAAAUGCGGGGCCCCCUGCUCCUAAGUUGUGAAGACUUUCAAGAUGGAAACGCCAGAACAUUAAACCAAGCACGAGGCACCCUUGAGGGCACGGGUCCUUUGGCACCUGCACACAGGGCAUGUCCUCAUAGCCACUCCAGUACUGAGUUACAGGCCCUGGACAUGCUUCACUCAGCCUCACCUUCAAAACCACCUUUGAGGGGCAGGAUGGCUAUGACAAUAAACUGCAAACACUGAAGCGCACGGGCACAUAAUCCCUCUCUAUUUGUGGUGUAACAAAUCUUAUUUGAGAUAACUGGGUCAAUGUCUAGGGCUUACAGGGCGGGGAAGGGGGGAGGAAGGGGGACUGAGACUCUCCUGUUUCUAUAUGCUAUGAUGGGAUUUGACCUGCAAUUGAACCUUUCCUCAAACACAAGGCACAAACCUGCCCCAGCCCAUCAUCCUCCCACAGAGGCACUGUGAAUGUAUAAAGAAAGGCGAUGCUAAGAAACGUGCUGCAGGGGAGGCUGGCACAUUCUGCUCCUUAGCUAACCGCACAGGCCCAUGGGUCCACACACAUCAGACCAUGGCUCUCUGUGGUCUAUCUUUGCCAUUACUUUAACCAGGCUGUUUCUCAUGCGCUCAUGGAGGGUGACUGAAGAUGCCACCCCGAGGUGCACCCUCAGCCUCGCUGGACACUUACGGCUCGCAUUCUCCAGCCGGACCAGGCAGUUGAGGAAGUCAUCGAAGUCCAGCUGGAGCUCCUCAUCCGCAUACCUGAGCACAAUCAGCUGCAGGAGGUGGCUGCUCAGCUGAAAGCCUGUGGGGACAAAGGAGGAGACCCAGGACUCGCUGUAUCCGAGCCCCGAGGUGAGUCUGCACCUUUGAGGGAGCUCCCAGGCAGCUGAGGAGAGGGCUCAGAAGAGGAAGCCACUGUUUCACUCCUCAAAGCUGGGGUCCCCAGACCCAGUGGGACUGCUGCCCUUGGUGUGAAUGCAGCGUGAGAGUGUGAAUCUGUGGUGCAGGGGCGAGUGUGCGGGGGACUCUCAGGCGUGCUUUCUGUGUUUAAUGGCUUCUGAGUUUAGCGAGUUUGUGAUCUUAAUUUUGAUGCUAACAUCACCCAUAGAGUCUCGCUGACUUUACAGGAAGCUUUGUUUGGGGGAACUUAACACUGGGUGGUGUCUGAGCCCCAAGUUCAUUCCUACACCAGCCUCCCCUCGCGUUCUAUGUCUCAGGUCACUUCCAGCUGUGGCCCUAGAAAGUUUCUUGGAGGGGAUGCUGCUGCCCACGGAGAAUGAUACUCUGCCAGGGCCCAUUCCUACACAUCCACGAUGGGGGAAGAAUGACAGGCUAUAGCCAGGAGGCUUGGAUCUGAGCCCUGGCACUGCUCCAGCCGUGGCAUAUGGGUUCAGUUCUCUGGGCUUUGGUUUCCUCAUUGUCAAAUGAGGAGUUUAGACAAAGUGAACUUCCUUCUGGAUUUGAUAUUUAGAUUUUUUUUUUUGAGAUGGAGUUUCACUCUUGUUGCCCAGGCUGGAGUGCAGUGGUGCAAUCUCGGCUCAGUGCAACUUCUGCCUUCUGAUUUCAAGUGAUUCUUCUGCUGCAGCCUCCUGAGUAGCUGGGACUACAGGCACCUGCCACCACAACUGGUUAAUUUUGUAUUUUUAGUAGAGGCGGGGUUUCAUCAUGUUGGCCAGGCUGAUCUCAAACUCCUGACCUCAUGAUCCACCCACCUAGGCCUCCCAAAGUGCUAGCAUUACAGGUGUGAGCCACCACACCUGGCCAGUGCUUUGAUUUCUAAUUAGUGCCCUUAGAAGUGAUUUCUUUCCCCCUUUCAUUUUUGUCUACAUGUUCACUUUCUAGGAGGUGUUCACAGGAUUGUUCAGAAAUCCACCCAGGGUCUUUCUGCUUCUUCCUAAUUCCAGCAGAGGAGCAGGCAGGUCAGACACAGAGCACAGAGUCCCUGGAGCCUGCACGGCAGUGCUGGCUGCCAGCCUUGGCCAGAAUCCUGAUGUUUGGGGCUAGAGGAGGGGGAUGAGGGGCGAUUCUCCCCACACCACGUCAGGGUAGGAAAGACACAGCCAUGCCCCUCCUCUCUGAGUGCUCCCUUUGUCCCCUGCUCAGUUCCUCCUCCUACCAUGGAAACAGAGUCAUCAUCCCCUAAGAAAAUCAGGCGCCCCUUCUCAGCCUGGCACUUUGCUCAUUUAUAAAUCAUCUGAUUUUCUUCUCCCUCACAUAGGACCCGAGAUGGUCCUGGCUGUGUAUACUUCAUCCUUUUAUCAGGCCUGAGCCUGGACAUGUUUCCAGAUUUUGCUUUCCCUGGGAGAGAACCACUUUAAAAGGUUCAGGAGGCCCCUAUCUGUGAGGUGUGCUUGGUGAGAAGCGCAGGCAGCCCGGCAGGCGGGAGGUCUGCAGAGCGCUCGUGGAAACUACGGUUGUGUGUGCAGGACAUGGGACCACAGAGAUGCCGACAGCCAUCCAGCACCGGACAAGAGUGGGAAAUGCCACCUGGAGCCCAGCCUUUGGGUAAGGGAGCAGGGUAUAAACUAUGAUGCAGUCAUCCAUUUUGGAUUCAGAGUCUGAUGCUGAUAAAACCCGGGACAGGGCCACAGGUGGCAGAGGGACGUGCGGACCCCAAACCAUGGGUGCUGCAUGCUCUGUCUCAUCCACGAUAACAACCAUCUGAGAGCAGAAAUGAGAAGUUUGGAAUCACUGCAGCUUGCCACCAAAGAGCCAUGUGUUAAGUACUGGGCCAGAAAACAUGGUCAGAGGCUAUGAGGCCUCCAGAGGGCAGGCCAAGUUCAUUUUUAGCAGAUACAUUUAAAAAGUUUCUACCAAUGUUCACAGUGGUUUAAAAUGAGGGCCCUGGUGUCAGGAAGUGAGUCCUGGGUCUGAACCCUGGUGCCACCACUCCAAGGGCCGUGACCUUAAGAAUCACCAACUGGGCUCAGAGGCCCACCUCCUGGGCAGCAGAGAGAAGACCUGCCAUCUGCUCAGGUUGCCCACAGGCAGUACCUGGCAUGCAGUCAGCCACCUGUACUCCAGUCUUUUCUUUACCUGCAGCUUUCAGUGCAGUCCGUAGUUCAUAGGUAGACAUGGUGCCGGACUUGUCAGCAUCAAACCGAAGGAAAAGGUUCUAAAGGGUGGAGAGCAGAAGCCUUGAGAAGGAGCGUGCCUGAAAGGCAUCGCUGAUGGCAGUAAAUGGGUGACAGCCAGCCCGGGGGAGCUACCCUCUAGGGGCCGCAGAGGCCACAGUUGGACUGGGCCUUCCAAAAGAAGUCGGUCUCCCUUUUGUCUUCCUUUUCGUCUUGGGUGGAAGCACGGUGGUACUCCCGUAAGCAUCGGAAUAGCAUGAUGCUGUUUUCCCUUCUCCCCUGUCCGAAUACAAUUCCUCUAGCCUAUAGCCUGCAGCCUGCUGCACCAUUUUAAAUCCCCUCUGCUCUAGGUUCACUGGGUCCCCCAGAGGCCAAGCCCUGCUCCAGGUUACAUACAAUCCACUGCUUCAGCUUGUCCCAGAACACUUUGAAUUCAUCAAACUCCAGCUUCCCAUUGCCGCUGGUCUGUGCCAUGUGGGUUAAGGGAGACAUGAGCAGUGUUUCAACCUGAGGCUCCUCGUGGGACCUCAGCUCUGGGACUGCAGAGGGGGAGGGCCGAUGGGCUGGCCUGGGUGCACAGGUUUGGGGCCCUGGGGAAGUGGUUUUAAUGAUUAAACCACAAAUCUCUGAAGAGGGGAAACGGCAGAAGUGGAAUGGGGGUGGUCCCGGAAAGUUCACAAAAACAGAACUCUGUUCCCUUGGAUGGGAUCCCAAAGUGGCAAGAAGACCCCCAAGUCCCUUCAAAAGCUCCCCACCCCCACCACUAGGCAGUCUUGUGCAUCUUGAUUCUGAUCCAAUUUCAGCAUGGGGGUCCCCCAGCUUUGGGUUAUUUUCUGUGAAGAAGACUAUUCUGCUGGCUAAGGAUGUCAUGUUCUUGGAGAGUCUGCACUAUUGAAGAUUACUCUACUGUGCUUAAAGCCCAGGAUCCAUGUCUAUUUCUGCUCAAAUAUUUGGAAGGAUACGUCCAUCAGGGAAAUGAUGUUUUUACAGGAGAUCAGGCUUAGCUUCUUGAAUUUGAUGUCCUUUUCUGAAAUUGCACAUGAAAGCUGAAUUCAGUUGACCCGAUAAGAUAAACCUAUGUACCCAUCUGCUGAAAGCCCAAUAAUGUGGCUAAAUCCAGGGCUGUUGGGGGCUGUGAUGUGGCUACUCUCUUAUGAUGCUGGUAGGAGUAGAAGUUAACAUGACCUUUCAGAAGGAAAAUUGGCUAAAUGUGAAAAAAGCAAUAAAAGUGGGAAUACGCCUUCAUCCAUUUAUUCUAGUUCUAAGAACCCCGAGCAAAGAAUAACAUAUGAAGAUUUUUGUCAUCAUAUUAUUUAUAGUGGCAAAAAUUUGGAAGUGAAAUAAUGACCAAUAGAGAGGCAUGGUCAAUACCUUAGGCUAUGUCUAUAUAAUGAAGUAUUAUACGACCCUUAGGAAUCAUGUUUUUGCAGCAUAUUUAAUGGCAGGAUUUAAAUUUGUUGGAGAAAUUUGUACUCCCAUACUGCUGCUGGUGAAAAUGUGAAAUAGUCACUUUAGAAAACAGUUGGAUAGUUUUUAAAAACAUUAAACAUAGAGUUAAGCAAUCCUCUUAACUAAACAUAUAAUUAAGAGGAUGGUUAUGCCACCAUGUAACCAUAGACUGUUGCAUUGUGAUGGAACCAUCCUCAUAACUAUAUACCCAGGAGAAGUAAAAACACAUGCCCACCCAAAAAACUUGUAUAGGAGUGUUUACAGUUGCAUUAUUCAUAAUGACCAAAAACCGGUAACAACCCACGUGGCCACCAAUAGAUGAAUGAAUAAACAGAACAGGGCCCAUCCAUACGAUGGAAUGUUGUCUGGCUGUAAGAAGGAAUGAGACAUUGAUACAUGCUACAGCAUGGAUGGACCUGGAAAACAUCACACCAUGUGAGAAAAGCCAGUCAGAAAGGACCACAUAUUGUAUGAUUCCUUUUUUUCCCCCUGAAACGGAGUAUUGCUCUGUUGCCCAGCCUGGAGUGCAACGGUGUGAUCUUGGUUCACUGCAAACUCCACCUCCCAGGUUUAAGCAAUUCUCCUGCCACAGCUUCCCGAGCAGCUGGGAUUACAGGUGCCCACAACCACACCUGGCUGAUUGUGUGUGUGUGUGUUUAUUUUUAGUAGAGAUGGGGUUUCACCAUGUUGACCAGGCUGGUCUUGAACUCCUGACCUAGGUGAUCCGCCUGUCUCGGCCUCCCAAAGUGCUGGGAUUACAGGCGUGAGCCACCGCACCCGGCCUAUGAUUCCUUUUAUAUAAAAUAUUCAGAAUAUGUAAAUAGAAUCUAUAGAGAAAGUAGAUGAGUGGUUGCCUGGGGCUGGGGGAAAUGGGUACAGGGUUAACACUGUUAAUGGGUAAAGGGUUUCUUGUUGGAGUGAUGAAACAUUCUAACAUUAUAUGUCUACGCAUAUGACACACAUGUACAUACAUGCAGAUACACAUAUGUUAAGAGUGGUUAUUUAUGGUGGUGAGAUCAUUUGUGACUAUCUUUGUCAUUAGGCUUUUCUGCAUUUUUAAGAAUUUUCUACUAUAAACCUGCAUCGUUUUUGGAAUCAGGAAAACAAACAAUGAAAGCUAUUUUUAAAGUCUACCUACAAAUCAGCCCUGGGAAGCAGAUCUGCGGCUCGGAGGAGCAGGGAGGGGACCCAGGCAGUGUGGUCGCUUGUCCCUCCAUAGGUGCCCCAGGACCCCGAUGGGGUUGGCACUUACUCUUUUGCAGCACAGCAUUUAAAACAUACUCAAGUUCCUCUGCUGUCACCUCCAUGUCCUGUUGAAGUGGAGACAAUUGUUUGUUAUAGCCCUUGGCACCUUCUUUUAUAGUUUAUUUUUGUUUUAAAUCAGUUCUGAGCUUCAUUUGGCUCCAGUGACAGACCAGCCUUCAGGACCCUGCUGUGGGCAGAUGUACCUAUCUCCUGUGUAGCUGCAGCUAUGUGUCUCAUAUGUCACAUGUUUUAGGGACAUGCCAGCCCAACUAGGAGAGAGCCUAACUUGAGAGACAUCCCAACCCAGGAAAGCGCAUGAAAAGCUGGGCAGGGCAAGGCAGUGGUUUCCCAGCUUCCCUGAGGGUCAGAACCAACUCCUGGAAUUGUCCUAAGCUCCUCAGAUGAUUCCUAUGUUGGAGGCAGUUUGGGAAAACCAGACUGAGUCUUCCUCUGUACAGUAGAACCACCUGCAGAGCUUUAAAAUAGUCCCGCAUCUGGGGCUUACCCCAGGGAAUCUUGAAAUCAGAGGACCUGAGAAUAUGGUCCUAUUUUUAAGACCUAGGAGUUGAUUUAGAAUUAAGAAUAAGGGUGAAUUUCAGAAUCAUGGAUCUAAGGCACUCCAGGAAAUCUCAGCAGCCCCCACCCCAGAAGCUGGUUAGAAAUGGAGAGUCUCAGACCUUGCCCUGAGACUCAGGCUUUUUUUUUUUUUUUUUUUUUUUUUUUGAUACAGGGUCUUGCUCUGUCAUCCAGAUUGGAGUAUUAGUGGUGUGACCACAGCUGACUGCAGCCUCAAUUUCCCAUGCUCAAGCAAUCCUCCUACCUCAGCCUCCCAAGUAGCUGGGACUAUAGGCAUGCACCACCAUGCUGGGCUGAUUAUUUUUGCAGAGAUGGGCUCUCCCUAUGUUGCCCAGGAUGCUCUUGACCUAUUGAUGAGGAAUCUGUGUUUUUUUUCCCAGGAUGCCCAGGUGACUUUAUGCACAUGUGUGUUUGAGUAGCACUGACAUAGACCUCAUUUUAGUCAGGGUUUUGCGCUAGCCGUGUGUUAUGCUGUGGAGUGCUUCUAACACAUGUCCGUCCUGAAGCCUCUGGGCCUGGGGAAUGGGGGUUUGGGAUGUUUGGUGUUGGUAAGAAAGCACUGCCCCAGCCAGGCCCCCACUGAAAGAGGAGGAAAGAGAAAUGGAGCCAUGUGCCCAAGUCAUCCAACUACUUGGAAGAAAAGCAGGACAUGAGUCAAGGAGGGCUGAACUCUAGAGGUACUUUUUGGUUGUUAAUAAAGGUCGACUGAAACUCCUGCAACAUUCACCGCUUCCCUUCCAAACUCUGGAUCUCCAUCUGACAACUUCUGCGCACCCGCAUGAACCUCUUUAACUCCUCUGAGCCUGUCUUGCUGGGUCUGACCCAGCAUGCUCCAGAUAGCACCUGGAGCAGGGAGGUCACCACUGCCUUCCCCCCUCACCAUGCUCUGUCCCGCCCAGGGCUGCGCUCAGCCACCUUCCUGCUGUGCUUUAAGCAGUCACAUGAGCCCCCAUUUUCUCCAUCCGAUCCUGUGGUCCCCUAAUCUCCCUGCCUUGCCUGUUUAUUGCAGUGCCUAAUAUACUACCAUCAGACAGCCCCUAGGUUUAGAUAUCACCCCUCCAGGUGACCCCUUUCAUAAUUCAGGAACCCCAGUUUGGGGAAACACAUGAAGCUAAUAGAGUCAUUAGCACCUUGACAUGAAUUAGUUCAUCAGCUCAUUGUAUUUAUGGCUCCAAGAGAGCACCUCUGGGGCAGUUUCUAGAAAGACUUCCCUCCCCUGACCCCAGCAGGUGGAGGAAGAGCCUGGAUCUGUGUGAGGCUCCAUCCAGUGUCCCUAAAAAGGAAGCUGAGCAGUGGAAAGAGCUAGGAUAGGGUGGGGGACAGGAAGUUGCAAUUGAAUAGGGACCUCCUUGAACAUGAUCCCCUUUACUACAGCAAACAGAGUAUUCUAAUGGCAGUGAUUUUCAGGCAGAGUUCAAAGGAGUCACCUCUUCAAGGCUUGCUCUAGCCUCCCAAAGAAAGCACCUGGGGCCAGGCGUGGUAGCUCAUGACUGUAAUCCCAGCACUUUGGGAGGCUGAGGCCAGAGGAUUGCUUGAGCCUAGGAGUUUGAGACCAGCCUGGGCAACAUAGCAAGACUCUUUAUUAUUUAUUUUUUUAAUUAGCUAAGCAUGAUGGCAUGUGCCUAUAGUCCCGGCUACUCAGGAAGCUGAGGUGAUAGGAUCUCUUGAGCCCAUGAGUUUGAGGCUGCAGUGAGCUAGGCUUAUACCACUGCACUCCAGCCAGGGUAAAAGAGUGAGACUCUGUCUAAAGCAAAACAGAACUAAAAAACAAAGCGUCUGGGCCUAUUCCAAGCUUCUUUGGGCUCACUGGCCCCAUCCACAGCCGCAGACUGUGUAAGUAAAUGUUGUAAACAGGGUGGUCUUUGGGCCUUGAAUGAUCAGUGCUGGUCUUACUUUGCAACAAGCUCCAUCAUGCCUCAGGAUGACGUUGCUGACCAACCCCACGACUGCAACCCUUUGCUAGGAAGCAGGUCCAGGCCCUCAGCCUGGUGGGGAGAUGGAAGUGGGGCAUGUCCUACCUCACCAGCGACUUGUUCAAACAGAGCCCGAAACCGCUGCUCCUCCUCUGUCUCCUGGUCAGGUGGAGUUGGCUUUGGAGGCUAAAAAACAGCCAAAGAAACUUGCACAAAAUGAUCCACAAAAAAGAAACAUGACAAAAAUAGCAGGAAAGAAGCCAGGAGCCUGUGUGCCCAGCCCCAUGUCACCCUCCUGAGGCAGUGUGCACAAGCUGCGUCCUGUAGCGUGAGGAACAUUUUCUCAUGAAGGCUCUUUUAGAAGGUGAGACUAGAAGGACUUUAUUAGCUGGACCUGUGGAGCCCUUCUGCCUUACAGACGAGGAGGCCAAAGGACCUUGACCCGUGCCUAAGUUAGGUCCUGGCCAUUGGAUUUUCAUGCUUCCUGCCCUUCCUCUGGCUUACUUCUUACCACCCUGGACUGGAAUGACUUACUUCAUCAUCUGUUUUGAUAGCUGGUAAAAUCGUUGAAGGCAAGAGUCUGUUUCUACCACUAAGCUCUGGGCUUGGUAUAUAGAAAGAGCUCAGUAAAUGUUUUGGGUGAUUUUUGGUUUCUUUGGUUUUUUAGCACCAUUAAUAAGCUGUGCCCCAGCAUGGAACAGCAAAUUCCCUCCUAAAAGCAGAUCUCUGCUGUCCCUGGACGUGUCAGACUAUUUCCAGCUAUAGUAUCUCAGGGCCUCUUGCGAGUCCUCCAGCCCUUGGACGAGGGUAAAGCCACCCCCAUGUCACCCCUUCCACACCACAUAACAUAGGGGAGAUGUAAUGUGUUCCCCUGAGUCCACAGUAAAAAACAUCUCCCUGCCUCUCUGGUUUUCUUUUCAUUGAUUAGAUUUCUUAAAAUACAAUUAAAAGUCUACCCACUUCAGAAGCGGCAGCCUUCUCUCAGGUGGAGUUGGUAGUGUGAAAGUUAUUGAGUCAAAAUGAAGUCACUAAUGUUAAGAAAACCCUGACAAAUAGAGCUCGGGAAGGCCAGAAGGUUCUCAUGCUUAUUUGCCUGAUAACAAAAAUAUCACAAAAGGCUGCAAAACCCACAACCUUUCACAGAGGCCCUCGCAACCAUACACAAAAAUACUUCUACCUCUGCCUAGCAACUGCCUGUCCAACAUCAGACUGGCUUCACUUUUGUUAUUGAUCUUUGUAGCCAAGGAUAAUUAUUUCAAAACAAUUAUGUAAUCCUUCUCAUUUUUUCUUUAAAAACCUUUGUCCUCCUUUACCUCCCCAAAUAGGUGCAUAGUUUACUAUGGCAUGCACCUUCCCAUUGCAGUGCUUUAUCCCUAAAUAAAUAGCUUUUCUUUUAGAGAGUGUCUCUGUGUUUGUUAUUUCAGUUGACAGUAGCACAGAGGAAGAUGACAUCGAACAGAACUUUAUACCAAGCACCCACCUCACUCCCAUGCCAGGUCCUUGUGGACUAGAAGAGCACAGACUAGAACACACACAUCUUGGUCUCCAGGAGGUUAGAAUCAUAGAUGCUUACUUGAUUGCAUGUAACCAUCCCUGAACUGCAGAGUUUUACAUGAUGCUGUGAUUAGAAGGAAGGUUUCCAGAACCAUCACCUGAAUCCCAUACUCCAUAGCAACAUCAGAAGACUCACCUCAGGAAGGUCAAUGUCUACAUUUCCAUCCAUAUCCCUGUAGGGGCAGAAAAACACACUGCCUCAAUUGUGGAUUAACUUCCCAUUGGGAUCUGCAGAGCUGAAGAGCCCAGAGCCUGGGAAGGUUCUGUCCCUUUGAAUCCCUUAUUGUUCAGUGCUGUUUACAUUUCACAGAGUUUGCAGACCCCAUGCAUUGACACCCCCACCCUUAGUCACUCAGACCUUGCUCAGAAUGUAAAUAAGAGGGACAGCCAUUGUGUUAGACCAUUCUUGCAUGGCUAUAGAGAAAUAACAGAGACUAGGUAAUUUAUAAAGAAAAGAGAUUUGAUUGGCUCAUGGUUCUACAGGCUUUACAGGAGCACAGUGCUGGCAUCCGUUCUGCUUCUAAGGAGGCCUCAGGAAACUUACAAUUAUUGCAGAAGGUGAAGGGGGAGCAGGCAAGUCACAUGGAAAAAGCAGGAGCAGGGUGGUAUGGGGGAGUUGCCAAAUACCCUUAAACAACCAGAUCUCGUGCAAACUCACUAUCGUGAAGACAGCACCAAGCCAUGAGAGAUCCGCCCCCAUGACCCAAACACCUCCCAUCAAGCCCCACCCCUAACACUGGGGAUUACAAUUCAACAUCAGAUUUGGUGGGGACACAUAUUCAAACUCUAUCAUUCUGCUAUGGGCCCUCAAAUCUCAUGUCCUUCUCACACUGCAAAAUAUAAUUAUGCCUUCCCAAUAACCCCCAAAGUCUUAAGUCAUUCCAGCAUUAACUCAAAAUUCCAAAGUCCAAAGUCUCAUCUGAGAUAAGGCAAGUCCCAUCACCUAUGAGCCUGUCAAAUCAAAAUCAAGUUCCAAGAUAUACAAAUUCCAUUUUAUACUUCCAAAAUACAAUGGGAGUAUAGGCAUUGGGUAAACAUUCCCAUUCCAAAAGGCCAAAAGAAAGGGGCUAC
rnacentral:lncRNA from 1 species